rnacentral:pre_miRNA from 1 species
CUUGUACUCCCUCCGUCUGAAAAAACUUGUCCCAAGCUUGUUGCUCAAAUGAAUGUAUCUACCACUAACUUGAUGCUAGAUACAUCCAUUUGAGGGACAAGCUUUUUCGGACGGAAGGAGUAUCUU